GGUGUAGCGGUGAAAUGCGUAGAGAUCUGGAGGAAUACCGAUGGCGAAGGCAGCCUUCUGGCAUCAUACUGACACUGAGGUUCGAAAGCGUGGGUAGCAAACAGGAUUAGAUACCCUGGUAGUCCACGCCGUAAACGAUGUCUACUAGUCGUUGGGUCCCUUGAGGACUUAGUGACGCAGCUAACGCAAUAAGUAGACCGCCUGGGGAGUACGGCCGCAAGGUUAAAACUCAAAUGAAUUGACGGGGGCCCGCACAAGCGGUGGAGCAUGUGGUUUAAUUCGAUGCAACGCGAAGAACCUUACCUGGUCUUGACAUAUCUAGAAUCCUGCAGAGAUGCGGGAGUGCCUUCGGGAAUUAGAAUACAGGUGCUGCAUGGCUGUCGUCAGCUCGUGUCGUGAGAUGUUGGGUUAAGUCCCGCAACGAGCGCAACCCUUGUCCUUAGUUACCAGCGGUUUGGCCGGGAACUCUAAGGAUACUGCCAGUGACAAACUGGAGGAAGGCGGGGACGACGUCAAGUCAUCAUGGCCCUUACGACCAGGGCUACACACNUGCUACAAUGGUAGGUACAGAGGGCAGCUACACAGCGAUGUGAUGCGAAUCUCAAAAAGCCUAUCGUAGUCCAGAUUGGAGUCUGCAACUCGACUCCAUGAAGUANGAAUCGCUAGUAAUCGCGGAUCAGAAUGCCGCGGUGAAUACGUUCCCGGGCCUUGUACACACCGCCCGUCACACCAUGGGAGUUGAUUGCACCAGAAGUGGGUAGCCUA
rnacentral:rRNA from 1 species